rnacentral:rRNA from 1 species
UGCUCAGGACGAACGCUGGCUGCGUGCUUAACACAUGCAAGUCGAACGCUGAAGCCUGGUGCUUGCACCGGGUGGAUGAGUGGCGAACGGGUGAGUAACACGUGAGUAACCUGCCCCUGACUUCGGGAAUAAGCCCGGGAAACUGGGUCUAAUACCGGAUACGACUGCCGGACGCAUGUCUGGUGGUGGAAAGUUUUUUCGGUUGGGGAUGGGCUCGCGGCCUAUCAGUUUGUUGGUGAGGUAAUGGCUCACCAAGACGACGACGGGUAGCCGGCCUGAGAGGGCGACCGGCCACACUGGGACUGAGACACGGCCCAGACUCCUACGGGAGGCAGCAGUGGGGAAUAUUGCACAAUGGGGGAAACCCUGAUGCAGCGACGCAGCGUGCGGGAUGACGGCCUUCGGGUUGUAAACCGCUUUCAGCAGGGAAGAAGCGCAAGUGACGGUACCUGCAGAAGAAGU